rnacentral:misc_RNA from 1 species
UGGCUCUCGCAUCGAUGAAGAACGCAGCGAAAUGCGAUAAGUAAUGUGAAUUGCAGAAUUCAGUGAAUCAUCGAAUCUUUGAACGCAUCUUGCGCUCCUUGGUAUUCCGAGGAGCAUGCCUGUUUGAGUGUCAUUAAAUUAUCAACCUUUACCAGCUUUGCUGCUUGGUUUUAGGCUUGGAUUUGGGAGUGGUUGCAGGCUUUUAACAAGUCGGCUCUCCUUAAAUUAAUUAGUGGUGCCCUUUGUGGUAAAUAAGCUAUUGGUGUGAUAACUAUCUACAUCAUUAGAAAACACCCUUAGGCUGUUGCUGCUUCAAACUGUCUUUUUGAAUGAGAGACACAUUAUGACAAUUUUGACCUCAAAUCAGGUAGGAUUACCCGCUGA